rnacentral:rRNA from 1 species
AGCUCCAAUAAGGGAAACUAAAGUUGCUGUGUUUAAAAAGCUCGUAGUUGAAUUUCGGGUAUUUGUUGCUAGCUGGUCUUCACGGCCAUGUUGGCUAACAGAUCCUCACAUUGGCUGGACGGCUGGCGAUGAUCUUUAUCGGUUGUCGUCAGUUGCCAGAACGUUUACUUUGAGAAAAUUAGAGUGCUAAAAGCAGGCUCACGCCUAGAUAUAUUGCAUGGAAUAAUGAAAUAAGAUCUCGGUUUUAUUUCGUUGGUUUUAGAAAUUGAGAUAAUGAUUAAUAGGAUCAGAGGGGGGCGUACGUACUGUGGUGUGAGAGGUGAAAUUCUUGGAUCGCCACAGGACGAACAGCAGCGAAGGCGUUCGCCAAGAAUGUUUUCA